GACGAACGCUGGCGGCGUGCCUAACACAUGCAAGUCGAGCGGAAAGGCCCUUCGGGGUCCUCGAGCGGCGAACGGGUGAGUAACACGUGAGUAACCUGCCCCAGACUUUGGGAUAACCCUCGGAAACGGGGGCUAAUACCGGAUACGACACAGCUUCGCAUGGGGUCUGUGUGGAAAGUUUUUCGGUUUGGGAUGGGCUCGCGGCCUAUCAGCUUGUUGGUGGGGUGAUGGUCUACCAAGGCGACGACGGGUAGCCGGCCUGAGAGGGCGACCGGCCACACUGGGACUGAGACACGGCCCAGACUCCUACGGGAGGCAGCAGUGGGGAAUAUUGCACAAUGGGCGGAAGCCUGAUGCAGCGACGCCGCGUGAGGGAUGACGGCCUUCGGGUUGUAAACCUCUUUCAGCAGGGACGAAGCGUAAGUGACGGUACCUGCAGAAGAAGCGCCGGCCAACUACGUG
rnacentral:rRNA from 1 species